GAUGAACGCUGGCGGCGUGCCUAAUACAUGCCAGUCGAGCGAACGGACGAGAAGCUUGCUUCUCUGAUGUUAGCGGCGGACGGGUUAGUAACACGUGGAUAACCUACCUAUAAGACUGGGAUAACUUCGGGAAACCGGAGCUAAUACCGGAUAAUAUUUUGAACCGCAUGGUUCAAAAGUGAAAGACGGUCUUGCUGUCACUUAUAGAUGGAUCCGCGCUGCAUUAGCUAGUUGGUAAGGUAACGGCUUACCAAGGCAACGAUGCAUAGCCGACCUGAGAGGGUGAUCGGCCACACUGGAACUGAGACACGGUCCAGACUCCUACGGGAGGCAGCAGUAGGGAAUCUUCCGCAAUGGGCGAAAGCCUGACGGAGCAACGCCGCGUGAGUGAUGAAGGUCUUCGGAUCGUAAAACUCUGUUAUUAGGGAAGAACAUAUGUGUAAGUAACUGUGCACAUCUUGACGGUACCUAAUCAGAAAGCCACGGCUAACUACGUG
rnacentral:rRNA from 1 species